rnacentral:lncRNA from 1 species
AGGGAAGAUAAAUUGUUAUGCAUGUAUGAAUGUGUGUUUUACAACUUGAUUUUGUGUCAUUUUGAACACUUGAAGAAAAUUCAAUAGAAUUGAGUUAGACUUAAAGUCCACUACUAAUAUGAUAUCAGAAUCAUCGUUAAAGUCUAUCCUAAUGAUAUUUGUUGUUUGUUGAACAUAUUAUUGCACCCACUAACAUGCCACUAUCGAACCAUCCUAUAUACAUCGACG